rnacentral:rRNA from 1 species
CCUACGAAGUAGGCUUCCGCAAGGGACGUCUGUAGAGGUGCUGCAUGGCUGUCGUCAGCUCGUGUCGUGAGAUGUUGGGUUAAGUCCCGCAACGAGCGCAACCCUCGUCCUAUGUUGCCAGCACGUAAUGGUGGGGACUCGUAGGAGACUGCCGGGGUCAACUCGGAGGAAGGUGGGGAUGACGUCAAGUCAUCAUGCCCCUUAUAUCUAGGGCUGCAAACAUGCUACAAUGGCUGGUACAACGGGCUGCAAUACCGCGAGGUGGAGCAAAUCCCUUAAAGCCAGUCUCAGUUCGGAUUGGAGUCUGCAACUCGACUCCAUGAAGUCGGAGUCGCUAGUAAGCGCAGAUCAGCAGGCUGCGCUGAAUACGUUCCCGGGCCUUGUACACACCGCCCGUCACACCACGAAAGCCGGUUGUACCAGAAGUCGCUGAGCCAACCGCAAGGAAGCAGGCGCCGAAGGUAUGGUCGGUGAUUGGGGUGAAGUCGUAACAAGGUAGCCGU